rnacentral:rRNA from 1 species
UACGUAGGGGGCUAGCGUUGUCCGGAUUUAUUGGGCGUAAAGAGCGUGUAGGCGGCCGUACAGGUCAGCUGUGAAAACUCGAGGCUCAACCUCGAGACGUCGGUUGAAACCGUUUGGCUAGAGUCCGGAAGAGGAGAGUGGAAUUCCCGGUGUAGCGGUGAAAUGCGCAGAUAUCGGGAAGAACACCCGUGGCGAAGGCGGCUCUCUGGGCCGAUACUGACGCUGAGGAGCGAAAGCGUGGGGAGCAAACAGG